CGGUCCAAACUCCUACGGGAGGCAGCAGUGAGGAAUAUUGGUCAAUGGACGAGAGUCUGAACCAGCCAAGUAGCGUGAAGGAUGACUGCCCUAUGGGUUGUAAACUUCUUUUAUAUGGGAAUAAAACGUUCCACGUGUGGAAUUUUGUAUGUACCAUAUGAAUAAGGAUCGGCUAACUCCGUGCCAGCAGCCGCGGUAAUACGGAGGAUCCGAGCGUUAUCCGGAUUUAUUGGGUUUAAAGGGAGCGUAGGUGGAUUGUUAAGUCAGUUGUGAAAGUUUGCGGCUCAACCGUAAAAUUGCAGUUGAAACUGGCAGUCUUGAGUACAGUAGAGGUGGGCGGAAUUCGUGGUGUAGCGGUGAAAUGCUUAGAUAUCACGAAGAACUCCGAUUGCGAAGGCAGCUCACUGGACUGCAACUGACACUGAGGCUCGAAAGUGUGGGUAUCAAACAGGAUUAGAUACCCUGGUAGUCCACACAGUAAACGAUGAAUACUCGCUGUUUGCGAUAUACAGCAAGCGGC
rnacentral:rRNA from 1 species